rnacentral:rRNA from 1 species
AUGUGGGGCACCUAUGAAUGGACCAACUUGCUUAAGGCUCCCAUUAGCCACAGUGCCCCGGGUAGCCGAGUCCUCGUCACCACAAGACAUGAAACUGUUGCCCGAGGAAUGAAAGCAGUAAAUCCAUACCACUGCAUCAACAAAUUAGGGCCCAAAGAUGGCUGGUCAUUGCUCACAAAGCAGGUACUCAUGACUGAGAAAAGCGAACCUGCAGUGGAUAUGCUGAAGGAUAUUGGAAUGCAAAUUGUAGAAAAAUGUGAUGGGUUACCACUUGCCAUAAAAGUGAUGGGAGGACUCCUAUGCCAUAAGGAAAAAACCCGACGUGAUUGGGAGAAGGUAUUGAAUGAUGCUGUAUGGUCAAUAUCUCAAAUGCCAGAAGAGCUAAAUCAUGCCAUAUAUCUUAGCUAUGAGGACUUGUCCCCUUGUUUAAAGCAAUGCUUUCUGCACUUCUCCCUUAAGCCUAAAAAGAUGAUUUUAGAUGAUACACAAUUCAUCGACAUGUGGAUUGGUGAAGGAUUUGUUCAUGGAAACUCGGAUAUUUUGGAAGAAAUAGGAACUGAGUACCAUACAGAGUUGAGGUUGAGGAACCUUAUAGAGCCGGAUACAUCAUAUGCUAGUCACUAUGUUUGCAAGAUGCAUGAUGUUAUUCGUUCAUUUGCUCAAUUCAUGACAAGAAAUGAAGCACUAGUAGUUCAUAAUGGAGAUACUGUUAAUAGUAAACUUCGUUUGCAAAGCUUUCUCCGGUUGUCUAUAGAGACUAAUGGAGUGGAAUCAGAUGAGUUUGAGUGGAGAAGUUUACAAGAGCAAAUAUCUCUGAGAUCAUUAAUGUUAAUUGGAAACUUCAAGGUUCAGUCUGGCGAUUCCUUGGUUACCUUUUCAAGUCUGCGUACUCUACACGUAGAGUCUGCAGAGUUCGCCACAAUGGUUGAAUCUCUGUAUCAUCUCAAACACUUGAGGUAUUUGUCAAUGGACAGGUGCGCUGAUAUAGAUUGCUUGCCAGAGAACAUUCACAAAAUGAAGUUCUUACAACACAUUAGUCUUGAAGGUUGUGAGAAUCUUGUGAAACUUCCUGAUAGCAUUGUGAAGUUAAUGGAACUAAGAUAUCUUCAACUUGAAGGCACAAGUAUAUAUAGUAUUCCUAGGGGUUUCCAUGCUCUAACAAAUUUGAGGACGCUAUCUGGGUUCCGAGUACACAUGGAUGGUGAUUGGUGUAGCUUGGAAGAGCUUGGACCUCUUUCCCAGCUUAGGGGCAUUGGAUUAGUGGGCCUGGAGAAUGUAUCUGAUGCUUCAUUUGUCACAAAGGUUAGGCUUGAUCAAAAAGUGCAUCUUUCUAGGAUGUGCUUAUUAUCCAGCAUUGCGUGUAAGAAGAAUCAAGGAGUAAUUGAGGAGGUGUUUAAUGAGCUAUGUCCUCCUCCGUGCAUAGAAAUUAUUUCCGUUGAAGGAUAUAUCGGGCGCCAGCUGCCAAGAUGGAUGAUGUCGACAGCAACAAUGCCCCUCAAUAGCUUGAGGAUGCUAGUGAUGAAAGACUUGGCUUGUUGCACCCAACUUCCUGAUGGAUUAUGUCAGCUCCCAUGGCUGGAGUAUCUGAAAGUCAACUGUGCUCCAGCGAUCAAGUGCAUUGGGCCAGAAUUUGUGCGUCCCCAGAGCCACCGUUGCUAUCCUAAAUCCCGCAUGGUGACUGCAUUUCCGAGGUUGCAUGAGAUGGAUUUAUUAGAAUUGGUGGAAUUGGAGGAGCGGGAAUGGGAUGAGGAAGUGCAAGCUGUGCCAGUCUUGGUUGAGCUUACUUUCACAAGGUGUAAUUUGAAGUGUAUCCCUCCCGGUCUUGCCUCACAUGCAAAGGCUUUGAAAAAGUUAACCUUGUGGAGCAUGUGGGGUCUCCAUUCGCUAGAGAACUUUGCUUCUGUUGUUGAGCUCGACCUGUAUGACUUACCCAAGCUGAUUAGUAUCUCCAAUUUCCCUGAAUUGCAAAAGCUUGAGAUCAAGUCUUGCCCCGAGCUCACCUCACUAGAGGAGAUGAGUGCAUUACGGAGACUUGUGCUGACAGUUCCCGGCUACGGUGAAAGAUUCCGUCUCUCGCCCAACAAGAUGGGACUCCCCUUGUACCUUCAAACUGUAAAUCCAAGCCAUUUGCUGGUGGAUUGCAGUCUGGAGAUACUUGGUUUCAUGGCCCCAGGAAAAUCUGGCAGCGAGUGGGACAAGUUUAGCCAUAUCCAGCACGUUGAGGCUUAUGCAGACAGUGAUUGCUGGGAUGACAAGAAAUGGCACGUAUUGUACACAAGGGAACCUUUCAGCAUUGAAACAAAUGUGCAGCCUGCAUUUCCUUGCUUGCUGCAAUGA